UGGGGGAUAUUGCACAAUGGGCGCAAGCCUGAUGCAGCGACGCCGCGUGGGGGAUGAAGGCCUUCGGGUUGUAAACUUCUUUUGCUCUGAACAAGGCGCACUUUGGGGUGUGUUGAGUGUAGGGGUUGAUUAGCGCCGGCUAACUACGUGCCAGCAGCCGCGGUAAUACGUAGGGCGCGAGCGUUGUCCGGAAUUAUUGGGCGUAAAGGGCUUGUAGGUGGCUGGUUGCGUCUGUCGUGAAAGCUCAUGGCUUAACUGUGGGUUUGCGGUGGGUACGGGCUGGCUUGAGUGCAGUAGGGGAGGCUGGAAUUCCUGGUGUAGCGGUGGAAUGCGCUGAUAUCAGGAGGAAUACCGGUGGCGAAGGCGGGUCUCUGGGCUGUUACUGACACUGAGGAGCGAAAGCAUGGGGAGCGAACAGG
rnacentral:rRNA from 1 species